rnacentral:rRNA from 1 species
AUUGAACGCUGGCGGUAGGCCUAACACAUGCAAGUCGAACGCUGUAGCAAUACAGAGUGGCAGACGGGUGAGUAACGCGUGGGAACGUGCCUUUCGGUUCGGAAUAACUCAGGGAAACUUGAGCUAAUACCGGAUACGCCCUUCGGGGGAAAGAUUUAUUGCCGAAAGAUCGGCCCGCGUCCGAUUAGCUAGUUGGUGUGGUAAUGGCGCACCAAGGCGACGAUCGGUAGCUGGUCUGAGAGGAUGAUCAGCCACACUGGGACUGAGACACGGCCCAGACUCCUACGGAAGGCAGCAGUGGGGAAUAUUGGACAAUGGGCGCAAGCCUGAUCCAGCCAUGCCGCGUGAGUGAUGAAGGCCCUAGGGUUGUAAAGCUCUUUCGCCAGGGACGAUAAUGACGGUACCUGGAUAAGAAGCCCCGGCUAACUUCGUGCCAGCCGCCGCCGUAACAC